rnacentral:rRNA from 1 species
CUUGCUGGGGGAUUAGUGGCGAACGGGUGAGUAACACGUGAGUAACCUGCCCUUGACUCUGGGAUAAGCCUGGGAAACUGGGUCUAAUACCGGAUACGACCAUCUGGCGCAUGUCAUGGUGGUGGAAAGCUUUUGUGGUUUUGGAUGGACUCGCGGCCUAUCAGCUUGUUGGUGGGGUAAUGGCCUACCAAGGCGACGACGGGUAGCCGGCCUGAGAGGGUGACCGGCCACACUGGGACUGAGACACGGCCCAGACUCCUACGGGAGGCAGCAGUGGGGAAUAUUGCACAAUGGGCGCAAGCCUGAUGCAGCGACGCCGCGUGAGGGAUGACGGCCUUCGGGUUGUAAACCUCUUUCAGUAGGGAAGAAGCGAAAGUGACGGUACCUGCAGAAGAAGCGCCGGCUAACUACGUGCCAGCAGCCGCGGUAAUACGUAGGGCGCAAGCGUUAUCCGGAAUUAUUGGGCGUAAAGAGCUCGUAGGCGGUUUGUCGCGUCUGCUGUGAAAGACCGGGGCUCAACUCCGGUUCUGCAGUGGGUACGGGCAGACUAGAGUGCAGUAGGGGAGACUGGAAUUCCUGGUGUAGCGGUGAAAUGCGCAGAUAUCAGGAGGAACACCGAUGGCGAAGGCAGGUCUCUGGGCUGUAACUGACGCUGAGGAGCGAAAGCAUGGGGAGCGAACAGGAUUAGAUACCCUGGUAGUCCAUGCCGUAAACGUUGGGCACUAGGUGUGGGGGACAUUCCACGUUUUCCGCGCCGUAGCUAACGCAUUAAGUGCCCCGCCUGGGGAGUACGGCCGCAAGGCUAAAACUCAAAGGAAUUGACGGGGGCCCGCACAAGCGGCGGAGCAUGCGGAUUAAUUCGAUGCAACGCGAAGAACCUUACCAAGGCUUGACAUGAACCGGAAAGACCUGGAAACAGGUGCCCCGCUUGCGGUCGGUUUACAGGUGGUGCAUGGUUGUCGUCAGCUCGUGUCGUGAGAUGUUGGGUUAAGUCCCGCAACGAGCGCAACCCUCGUUCUAUGUUGCCAGCGCGUUAUGGCGGGGACUCAUAGGAGACUGCCGGGGUCAACUCGGAGGAAGGUGGGGACGACGUCAAAUCAUCAUGCCCCUUAUGUCUUGGGCUUCACGCAUGCUACAAUGGCCGGUACAAAGGGUUGCGAUACUGUGAGGUGGAGCUAAUCCCAAAAAGCCGGUCUCAGUUCGGAUUGGGGUCUGCAACUCGACCCCAUGAAGUCGGAGUCGCUAGUAAUCGCAGAUCAGCAACGCUGCGGUGAAUACGUUCCCGGGCCUUGUACACACCGCCCGUCAAGUCACGAAAGUUGGUAACACCCGA